CUACCCUUAGCUCAGUUGGUAGAACAAAUGACUGUAGUUAUUACCAAAUCAGUAUUCUUUAGGUCACCGUUCGACCCCGGUACGGUAGA
rnacentral:tRNA from 1 species